rnacentral:rRNA from 1 species
AGAGUUUGAUCAUGGCUCAGGAUGAACGCUGGCGGCGUGCCUAAUACAUGCAAGUCGAGCGAAGGACGUAGCAAUAUGUCUUUAGCGGCGAACGGGUGAGUAACGCGUUGGUGACCUGCCUCGAAGCGCGGGAUAACAGUUCGAAAGGAUUGCUAAUACCGCAUGUGGUUGAAGAGAUUAGAAGCUCUCCAACUAAAGGAGAAAUUCACUUCGAGAGGGGCCUGCGUCCCAUCAGCUAGUUGGUAAGGUAACGGCUUACCAAGGCGAUGACGGGUAGGGGACCUGAGAGGGUGGCCCCCCACAAUGGAACUGAAACACGGUCCAUACACCUACGGGUGGCAGCAGUAGGGAAUAUUGCAUAAUGGGCGAAAGCCUGAUGCAGCAACGCCGCGUGUGCGAUGAAGGCCUUCGGGUCGUAAAGCACUUUUAGAGAGGAUGAGGAAGGACAGUACUCUCUGAAUAAGCCUCGGCUAACUACGUGCCAGCAGCCGCGGUAAAACGUAGGAGGCGAGCGUUAUCCGGAUUUACUGGGCGUAAAGCGCGUGCAGGCGGUAAGGAAAGUUGGAUGUGAAAGCUCCUGGCUAAACUGGGAGAGGUCGUUCAAAACUACCUAACUAGAGUGUGGGAGAGGGAGGCGGAAUUCCGGGUGUAGUGGUGAAAUGCGUAGAUAUCCGGAGGAACACCAGUGGCGAAAGCGGCCUCCUGGCCCAAGACUGACGCUCAGACGCGAAAGCUAGGGUAGCAAACGGGAUUAGAGACCCCGGUAGUCCUAGCUGUAAACGAUGUGGACUCGGCGUCGGCGGGUUUAAAUCCGUCGGUGUCGAAGCAAACGCGAUAAGUCCACCGCCUGGGGACUACGGCCGCAAGGUUAAAACUCAAAGGAAUUG